UGGGGAAUUUUGUUCAAUGGGGGAAACCCUGAUCCAGCCAUCCCGCGUGUGCGAUGAAGGCCUUCGGGUUGUAAAGCACUUUUGUCAGGAAAGAAACGUCAUGGGUUAAUACCCCGUGAAACUGACGGUACCUGCAGAAUAAGCACCGGCUAACUACGUGCCAGCAGCCGCGGUAAUACGUAGGGUGCAAGCGUUAAUCGGAAUUACUGGGCGUAAAGCGUGCGCAGGCGGUUCGGAAAGAAAGAUGUGAAAUCCCAGAGCUCAACUUUGGAACUGCAUUAUUAACUACCGGGCUAGAGUGUGUCAGAGGGAGGUGGAAUUCCGCGUGUAGCAGUGAAAUGCGUAGAUAUGCGGAGGAACACCGAUGGCGAAGGCAGCCUCCUGGGAUAACACUGACGCUCAUGCACGAAAGCGUGGGGAGCAAACAGG
rnacentral:rRNA from 1 species